rnacentral:rRNA from 1 species
CAUUCACGGAGAGUUUGAUCCUGGCUCAGGACGAACGCUGGCGGCGUGCUUAACACAUGCAAGUCGAACGAUGAAGCCCUUCGGGGUGGAUUAGUGGCGAACGGGUGAGUAACACGUGGGCAAUCUGCCCUUCACUCUGGGACAAGCCCUGGAAACGGGGUCUAAUACCGGAUAACACUCUGUCCUGCAUGGGACGGGGUUGAAAGCUCCGGCGGUGAAGGAUGAGCCCGCGGCCUAUCAGCUUGUUGGUGGGGUAAUGGCCUACCAAGGCGACGACGGGUAGCCGGCCUGAGAGGGCGACCGGCCACACUGGGACUGAGACACGGCCCAGACUCCUACGGGAGGCAGCAGUGGGGAAUAUUGCACAAUGGGCGAAAGCCUGAUGCAGCGACGCCGCGUGAGGGAUGACGGCCUUCGGGUUGUAAACCUCUUUCAGCAGGGAAGAAGCGCAAGUGACGGUACCUGCAGAAGAAGCGCCGGCUAACUACGUGCCAGCAGCCGCGGUA